AUGGGGAUGAGAUUUCAAUUGCUCCGGGACCGACGCAUCUCCUCACAUGGACCAGGUCUUCACACACCCAAAGCGGCUUCGCAGCGGCAAAAACAAUUGACAACCAGUCUCAUGACCCAGGCAGAGAUGCAGAAAGAGGCUCACCAAAGACAGGCCGCCAUGAGAGAAAUCGCUUUGUGGUGCAAAGGGCACAUUCGGACAAAGACACACACACACAUGGACACACACACACAAACCGACAGAGAGAGGGAAAGAAACACACAGAGACUGAGAGACAGAGAGAGAAAAGAGAACCGGACACACACACAGACACACACACACACACACACAAACACAGACACACACAGACACACACAC
rnacentral:lncRNA from 10 species